UUGAAUUUAAUGGGUGAAAGAGCAAAGGUUCAGAGGCCACGAGAGCGGCCAGCUCUGGCUGGGGAGAGUUUCCCCUCGCAGGAACCAAGGAAGUGCGAGGCUGGACGCGCCUUAAGGUCCAUUUCAUCCCGAGUCCCGUCUCUGACUGACGGCGGCCGCGCACUGGAGGCUGCAGCGCCUAGCACAAUACCCCUGCCAGAGCCAGUGGCAAGCGUCCAGCCCCGUGGGGUCUGGGGCCAGGUUCAGAGCCGCCUCCUCCCGAGCCGGGCCCGGGGAGGUACGAGGGCGGAAGCUCCAUGGGCCGCAGCGCAGCCAGGAGCGUGCUGGGGUCCCGUGUAACUCGGGCAGCGCCUGGGGGCGGCCGGUGUCGUGCCCCGACCCCCGGCAGCCUCGCACAGGAGCGCGCGGGGCCAGGCGGGAGGAAGAAACGUUGGUCCACAGCGCCCCGUGCCUGCCGGGGGUGGGGGACGACGGCACGUGUUACCCCCGUGUAGCUCCCCCGGGGGCCGGGCACCACUCCCCGCCCCGUUCCAGGCCGGCCCUUCCUGAAGCCGGAACGUUCCUCCUGCGGCCCGGCGCGCCGGUCGGACGAGUUGCAACAGCACCGAGCGGGUGAGGUUGGGAGUUCCGGGAGUUCGCCGCGGGGAGCUCGAGCCCGGUCCCGGCAGUAUCGUAAGCAAGCAGAUUUUGACAGACAGACAGACAUGGAUGACGAGCCUGAAAAAACUAAACGCUGGGAAGGGGGUUAUGAAAGAACAUGGGAGGUUCUCAAAGAAGAUGAAUCUGGGUCACUGAAAGCAACUAUAGAGGACAUUCUUUUUAAGGCGAAGAGAAAAAGAAUCUUUGAACACCAUGGGCAAGUUAGACUUGGAAUGAUGCGUCACCUUUAUGUGGUGGUAGAUGGAUCAAGGACUAUGGAGGACCAAGAUUUAAAACCUAACAGGCUUACUUGUACCUUAAAGUUAUUGGAAUAUUUUGUUGAAGAAUACUUUGACCAGAAUCCUAUUAGUCAGAUUGGUAUAAUUGUAACUAAGAGUAAAAGAGCUGAAAAGCUGACAGAACUUUCAGGAAACCCAAGAAAGCAUACAACUGCUCUGAAGAAAGCUGUAGAUCUGACCUGCCAUGGAGAACCAUCUCUGUAUAACUCUUUAAAUUUGGCCAUGCAGACUUUAAAGCACAUGCCAGGACAUACAAGCAGGGAGGUUUUGAUUAUCUUCAGUAGCCUGACAACGUGUGAUCCAUCUAAUAUCUAUGAUCUAAUUAAGUGUUUAAAGGCAGUUAAGAUCAGAGUAUCUGUCAUCGGCCUAUCUGCUGAAGUUCGAGUUUGUACUGUACUUGCCCGAGAAACGGGUGGAACAUACCAUGUAAUUUUAGAUGAAAGCCACUAUAAGGAGCUGCUGAUGCAUCAUAUUAGCCCUCCACCUGCCAGUUCAAGUUCUGAAUGCUCCCUUAUUCGAAUGGGGUUUCCUCAGCAUACCAUUGCGUCUCUUUCUGAUCAGGAUGCUAAACCAUCAUUUAGCAUGGCGCACUUGGAAAACAACAGUGAUCCAGGUCUCACGCUGGGUGGAUAUUUCUGUCCCCAGUGUAGAGCCAAAUACUGUGAACUCCCUGUGGAAUGCAAAAUCUGUGAUGAUUUUUUUUGGUCUUUUUUUUUUUAUUUUGACAUUCAAGGUCUUACAUUAGUCUCUGCACCCCAUCUGGCUCGGUCUUACCAUCACCUGUUUCCUUUGGAUGCCUUUCAAGAAGUUACACUGGAAGAAUAUAAAGGAGAACGCUAUUGUCAAGGCUGCCAAGGGGAGAUUAAAGAUCAGCAUGUAAGUUAUUAAAAUGUAAUGUAAUUUGCACACUGCUUCUUAAUGUAAUUUAAUCUUUGUGAAGGUCAUCAUGAUGACAAAAAAACCUGUAUGGAGACCAUCAUGUUGGCUAGAUUGAAUUCUCAGUCCUGGCUUCUCACUUUUUCGACUGCAAAUCAGCACACUUGAGGUUUACAUUUGUAAAGUCUGCCAGAAUGUAUUUUGUAUGGAAUGUGACUUAUUUGUUCAUGAUUCUCUGCACUGCUGUCCUGGCUGCAUUCACAAGGAUCCUGCUCCUCUGGGUGUAUGAUACCAGGUGUUUGUAGAGAUUGUCCUACCUGUUUCAUUCUUGCACAGAGUCAAAUUAGACUAUUCAACCACAGACUUCAGUAAGGCAACUCAAAAACAAGAAGAAAUACCUAGAUGAAUGCGGUAACAAACCCACGUUUUAGUUAAUGUAUAGAAUUGGAAUAUUUAAAUUCUCAUGGUUAAUGUUUAUAAAAAUAUCUGCAUCAUCUGAUUCAUUUCCCUAACUUGUUUUGAAAGCCUUUGACUUACUUGAGUCAUGCUAAAUAAAUGUGUAAAUCUGUAA